UGGGGAAUUUUGGACAAUGGGCGAAAGCCUGAUCCAGCAAUGCCGCGUGUGUGAAGAAGGCCUUCGGGUUGUAAAGCACUUUUGUCCGGAAAGAAAUCCUUGGCUCUAAUACAGUCGGGGGGAUGACGGUACCGGAAGAAUAAGCACCGGCUAACUACGUGCCAGCAGCCGCGGUAAUACGUAGGGUGCAAGCGUUAAUCGGAAUUACUGGGCGUAAAGCGUGCGCAGGCGGUUUGCUAAGACCGAUGUGAAAUCCCCGGGCUCAACCUGGGAACUGCAUUGGUGACUGGCAGGCUAGAGUAUGGCAGAGGGGGGUUAGAAUUGCCACGUGUAGCAGUGAAAUGCGUAGAGAUGUGGAGGAAUACCGAUGGCGAAGGCAGCCCCCUGGGCCAAUACUGACGCUCAUGCACGAAA
rnacentral:rRNA from 1 species